UGCUGGAACAGAAGGCCAAAGUGAAAGAAUACAAAAGCAGAAAAACUCUCUGGGGUCAGCCCUCUCUCUAGAAAUCAGUUCUCUCCUCGGCAAAAAUUUCACCCAAAUCAAAAUCCCUCAAAUCAAAAUGUGAAUCUCAUUUGUCAGGAAUACAACAAAAAUAAUCACACAGAAAGAAUCAUUUAAAGCGUACUUGGUAUUAUUAUUAUUGAUUCCCGGUCUUGAUAGAAUCUUAUCUCUUUUCCAAGAUCCCGAAGCAGCACUUAGACCAUAGCAUUUGGGUGGCUGCUUUCAGUCCAACUAGAGAUCCCGAGGUAGUCCUGCAGGCGUCCGCAGGCCCAACGUUCUCUUCUAUCUUAUUAUGUGUUAUGUUUUCACUUGUAUCCAAGAUAGAUUUUAUUCCCUAUUUCAGACACUUGUAUGUAGUACUCAUAUACAGUCCGUGAUAUUGUGACACCGGAUUUCGGUUAGAGACAUACGUUGGCAUUGUAGUACCAGCUUUGGUUAUUUUAUCAGUUUAAGUCUUCCGCUUGUUUUAUUUA